AUGUUUGUUAUUUUAGAUUCAGCAUUUGAUGAGAAGAGUGACUACCACAAGCAUGUGUUGAGCAUUCUGAUCCCAAAUUUCAAGAGGGUUUGGAACAUGUUUGGGAGCUCGCGGAAUCUUAAUUGGAGAAUUUGGUCUACACAUUUUAUUGACGUGCCUAAACAAUCAAAUGCGGUUGACUGUGGUAUUCAUACCGCAUUAUACUUGAAACACUGGAAGCCUAGGGUCAAGAUGCAUGACAUUAUUAAGGAUGAAGGUAUUCCUAAUAUUAGAGUAAGAUUGGCGAAUGAGAUGAUGUUCACUGACCUCAAUAUUCUGACAGAGCAGAAGAACUUUGUUCUUGAUUUCUGA
rnacentral:rRNA from 1 species